CAAGGUUUCCGUAGGUGAACCUGCGGAAGGAUCAUUAAUAAAUUUUUUUAGGUUGAAAAUACGAAACCUAAAAAUAUAAUAAUCCUACCCUUUGUGAAUUUGUUGUUUGAAAUAAUUUUUUUAAAAAAAAAUUAUUUUAUAGCUUUGGUCUAUCCCUGAGUUGUAAGAGAAGUAAAAUUCUUUGAAAGCUUAGGGAAUAGGCUUUAUCUAUAAAUAAUGAUUUUUUAAAGGCCUUUUUUUUAAAUUAAACUUUUUUGUAUUCAUUUGUCUAAAUUUAUUUUUAAUAAUUUUAAAAACAACUUUUGACAAUGGAUCUCUUGGUUUCUCGCAACGAUGAAGAACGCAGCAUAAUGCGAUAAGUAAUGUGAAUUGCAGAAUACGUGAAUCAUCAAAUCUUCGAAACGCAUAUUGCACUUUUUUUAGUUUACUAAAAAAGUAUGUCUGUUUGAGUAACAGUAAAAUAUUCUCAUAAAAAAAUUUAUUUUUUAUGGUUUUGAGUGUUUUACAACACGAUACAAGUUGUUUCACUUUUAAAUUGACUUUAAAUUGCCUAUUAAUUUAGUCAAUUUUUUAAAAAUUGCAUAAAAUUUUCCCGUAAAAAAGGAAUAACCUAUCAAUUUUAAAAAUUAACUGAUAUUAAAAGGCCUUGAUAAAAGGAAAUUUAAUUAAAUAACUUGAUCUCAAAUCAGAUUAAGAGUACCCGCUGAACUUAAGCAUAUCAAUAAGCGGAGGAAAAAGAAACUAACAAGGAUUCCCCUAGUAACGGCGAGUGAAGCGGGGAAGAGCUCAAAUUUGAAAUCUUCAAGGUUUGACCUUGACGAAUUGUAGUUUUAAAGAAGUGUUUUCGGUUAGAGGAGUGGUAAAAGUUCUUUGGAAUAGGACAUCAUAGAGGGUGAGAAUUCCGUAUUUGACCAUUCUUUCUAGCUUUGUGAUACACUUUCAGAGAGUCGGAUUGUUUGGGAAUGGCAGUCCAAAAUGGGUGGUAAAUUUCAUCUAAAGCUAAAUAUUGGCGAGAGACCGAUAGCGAACAAGUACCGUGAGGGAAAGAUGAAAAGAACUUUGAAAAAGAGAGUUAAACAGUACGUGAAAUUGUCAAAAGGGAGGCGUUUGACACCAGUGUUGUUUUUUCCGAAAAUCAAUUUAAAAAUGGAUUCAUGCCAAGUUGUAUUGACCUUAUCAGCUUGCAAUUUGGUUUUGGGUUCUUUUUUUUGAUGCACUUUUCGGUUAACCAAGUCAACAUCAAUUUCCUUUGCUGUAAAAGGGCAGAAGGAAGGUGGCUUCAAUUUCGGUUGAAGUGUUUUAUAGCCUUUUGUCUCUGCAGUCGGGGAGAUUGAGGUCUGCAGCGUAGAUCCUUCGGGGUUAGAUACAUUUCGUGCUAAGUUAUAGCCUUUUAUAGACAACUUGUUGACUAUGAUCGGUCUUGUAAUUUACUCCGCGAGUGCUAUUUUACCUACGCUUAGGAUUUGAAG
rnacentral:misc_RNA from 1 species